rnacentral:rRNA from 1 species
AGUGAACGCUGGCGGUAGGCCUAACACAUGCAAGUCGAACGGCAGCACAGUAAGAGCUUGCUCUUACGGGUGGCGAGUGGCGGACGGGUGAGGAAUACAUCGGAAUCUACUUUUUCGUGGGGGAUAACGUAGGGAAACUUACGCUAAUACCGCAUACGACCUACGGGUGAAAGCAGGGGAUCUUCGGACCUUGCGCGAUUGAAUGAGCCGAUGUCGGAUUAGCUAGUUGGCGGGGUAAAGGCCCACCAAGGCGACGAUCCGUAGCUGGUCUGAGAGGAUGAUCAGCCACACUGGAACUGAGACACGGUCCAGACUCCUACGGGAGGCAGCAGUGGGGAAUAUUGGACAAUGGGCGCAAGCCUGAUCCAGCCAUACCGCGUGGGUGAAGAAGGCCUUCGGGUUGUAAAGCCCUUUUGUUGGGAAAGAAAAGCAGCAGGUUAAUACCCCGCUGUUCUGACGGGACCCAAAGAAUGAGCACCGGCUAACUGCGG